rnacentral:rRNA from 1 species
UACAGAGGUCUCAAGCGUUGUUCGGAUUCAUUGGGCGUAAAGGGUGCGUAGGUGGCGCCGUAAGUCAGGUGUGAAAUCUCGGGGCUCAACCCCGAAACUGCACUUGAUACUGCGGUGCUCGAGUACUGGAGAGGAGAUUGGAAUUUACGGUGUAGCAGUGAAAUGCGUAGAUAUCGUAAGGAAGACCAGUGGCGAAGGCGAACCUCUGGACAGUUACUGACACUGAGGCACGAAGGCCAGGGGAGCAAACGGG